UGAAGAAGUCCUCGGCAUACACAGAUCUGAAAUGAGAAUAAAAGAACACGAAACAUUAAAUAAGAACAUAUGAGUUCAGGGGGGUGUGACUUAACUAUGACGGGCUGAGGCUGCACACCUAAGGAGCUCCAACCUGACCGCUUCUUUGAUCAGUGACUUCCCAGGACACCUGAUUCCGAAGAUGGGGGACGAUGAGACGGCAGAGACAGGCCACCGAGUGUUCUGUUAUCCACCCUCGGACUGGCUUCGGCAGUAGCCUCGGAAACGGGGAUACGCCGCUUCAAGAGAUAUCCGCGUGCACUCGGGUGAAGUGAGACGCCGGCGACAGCAGGAGUUCCAUAGCGCACACGCCAGCGGCAAGCCACGAGAAAAGAGAGUCGAGCAAAGAGAAAACUGCAGGUACAUAGGUUAUCUGGAUAACACCUGGCUGCCCGUGAAGGUCCACGAGAUAUGCUAUGUCGCAUCCAUUACUAUACAGACAGAGAACGGAUUCUACAUGCAACUCGGGAUACAGGAUUUAUUAAUUAUGAUGCAUCUCAAAUAAGUUUGUUCCCUGAUGUCUUGGCCCGCUCCCUAUAUAUGCGAAGACUGCUUCAGCCAUUGCUGGAGCAGAUACGGGAGUCUGGAGCUAGUUAUCAAUAGGGUCACCCCUUCCAUUUGAUUGUGCGGAAAGACUAUGAAACUUUCUGUUUGAGACAACAUGCUGAUCUCCCGAGACUGUGCUUAUUUUUGGGGAUUGACCUAAUACCACUCCCAGACUGUCUCUCUCUUGAACAUCUGGAAGCUAUGCCACAGCGACAUGCGCACCAGAGAGAGGGCACUAGGCGUUCUAGUGACAUUGCAAUGCAACCUCAACCACUACAAUUGGAUCUCUUGGGUUUUCUCCCCGAGGAAGCAUGAUCCUGUUAUAAGGAUAGCAAAUACUAAAGAAACUCAUGACUGCUGGAUCAGACAACAGGAAUAAAAGAUUGCAUAAUGCUGAGAAGAUAGAUUUGUGAUAAUACUGUACAUACAUAUUUACUCUGUUAACACAGGAUAAAAGGCAUUCAUGCAUAGUUAUGAUGAUCUACUGUACCUGUUCUCUAUAAUACAAAUAUUAGAAAAGGUGUGUUUGUGCAGUGAGCUAUUUAUUCCUUUAAGAUUUCUGUAUUUCAAUCUUGAAAAUC